rnacentral:rRNA from 1 species
UAGUCCACGCAGUAAACGAUGAAUACUAGGUGCUGGGUCCCACAGGGAUUCGGUCCGCCGCUAACGCAUUAAGUAUUCCACCUGGGGAGUACGUUCGCAAGAAUGAAACUCAAAGAAUUGACGGGGACCCGCACAAGCGGUGGAGCAUGUGGUUUAAUUCGAAGCAACGCGAAGACCUUACCAAGUCUUGACAUCCCUCUGACAGGUGUAGAGAUACACCCUUCUUCGGACAGAGAGACAGGUGGUGCAUGGUUGUCGUCAGCUCGUGUCGUGAGAUGUUGGGUUAAGUCCCGCACGAGCGCAACCCUUAUGCUUAGUAGCCAGCGGUUCGGCCGGGCACUCUAAGCAGACUGCAGGAAUAACCUGGAGGAAGGUGGGGAUGACGUCAAAUCAUCAUGCCCCUUAUGACUUGGGUACACACGUGCUACAAUGGCGCCGACAAAGGGAAGCAAACCCGCGAGGGGGAGCAAAUCCGAAACGGCGUCCCAGUUCGGACUGUAGUCUGCAACCCGACUAUACGAAGCUGGAAUCGCUGUAAUCGCGAAUCAGAAUGUCGCGGUGAAUACGUUCCCGGGUCUUGUACACACCGCCCGU